rnacentral:rRNA from 1 species
CCUACGGGUGGCUGCAGUGGGGAAUAUUGGACAAUGGGGGGAACCCUGAUCCAGCGACGCCGCGUGAGUGAAGAAGUAUCUCGGUAUGUAAAGCCCUAUCAGCAGGGAAGAAAAUGACGGUACCUGACUACGAAGCCCCGGCUAACUACGGGCCAGCAGCCGUGGUAAUACGGAGGGGGCAAGCGUUAUCCGGAUUUAGGGGGUGUAAAGGGAGCGUAGGCGGUGCAGCAAGUCUGAUGGGAAAGGUCGGGGGCCAACCCCGGGACUGCAUUGGAAACUGUUGGACGCGAGUGGGAGAGAGGUAUGCGGAAUGCGUGGUGUAGCGGUGAAAUGCAUAGAUAUUAGGAAGAACACCAGUGGCGAAGGCAGCAUGCUGGACUCAAACUGACGUUGAGGCACGAAAGCGUGGGUAGCGAACAGGAUUAGAUACCCGUAUAGUC